GUAGGGAGCGAGCGUUGUUCGGAAUCAUUGGGCGUAAAGAGCGCGUAGGUGGUUUGGCAAGUCUGUUGUGAAAUCCCAUGGCUCAACUGUGGAAUUGCGACGGAAACUGCCAGACUAGAGUGCGGGAGAGGAAAGUGGAAUUCCCAGUGUAGAGGUGAAAUUCGUAGAUACUGGGAGGAACACCGGUGGCGAAGGCGGCUUUCUGGACCGCAACUGACGCUGAGGCGCGAAAGCUAGGGGAGCAAACGGGGGAUUAGAUACCCCGGUAGUCCUAGCCGUAAACGAUGGGCACUAGGUGUAGGGGGUAUCGACCCCCUUCUGUGCCGUAGCUAACGCAUUAAGUGCCCCGCCUGGGGAGUACGGUCGCAAGACUA
rnacentral:rRNA from 1 species